UCUAACCCUGUCUCUGUGAAAACAAUUCUACAGAAAUCUUUGAUCUUUAUUCCUAAAAAGAAAUCUUUGUUCCGUUCUCUGAAACAGAUAAACCCUAAAAAAUCACUUUUUCAUUCUGCGAUAGGGGAGACAGAUCGAGAGAUGGUUUCUCUUUCAGUAACAACGGCCAUUCUUGAUUAGAAGAAAAAAAAAGUGUUUGAUUUUCUCUGUGAAGAUUAGCGGUACGAAGGUUAAGAAGAAAGAUGAAACUUGGAAAUUUGGGAGGAAAAGUUAACUUUAUGCCCAGUUUUUGUUUCCAGGGAAUGCAAUCUCUUUAAAAAAUCUUUAUCCGCUAAAAGAUGGCCGUUACACCGGUUACUGAUAAGAUUUUUUGGGUUGCAGUUACUAAAGCCUUGAGAAGGUGCAGUUUAAUCAAUGGUCCCUGUGCAAGAGAUCACUACGCACAGUUGUAGCCCAUGUAUGCACCCUAAUGAGCUUUGUUUCUAAUCAAGCUGGGGACGAGCUGCAUCAAGGUUUUGAACUUGGUAACGGAUGUUUAAAAGCAUGAGUUAGCUGAAGUGCGAACUACAGCCUGCAUUUGCAUAAGAAGUGUUAUUCGGUCAGUUAAGGUUCGAAUAAGCAGUUUAUAUCUUAAAGUUCGAUUUGGUCUCUGGUGAUGUUUUUUCAAGGUUAUAAUUCAGAAUCUCAGUGCAGGUCAUUAUUUCAACGAAAUGACUGUGAUUCCCUUGGUUCGUUCAGCUUUUAAAUGAUCCAUGUAGUACGAUUCUUUGCUAGGCAACUGCAACCUAAUUCAUUUACGAGAGAGAAUGGUGCUAUAUAACUUGGCAGGUUUGUCAUACGGUAGUAGUUGGUGAGGAAUGUGACAUUUGGUGCAAGAGUUGUAGAGAUAAUUCUCCCGACCUGGCGACACCUUCAGUCUUGCAACCAGGUUUUGUUCCUUAUUUUGUGCAUAUCAGUGCGGAAUAAUGCAAUUUUGUCGUCCAAAACCCUACCAGAAAAGCUAUUUUGCACCCCUUCGACUCAGAGCUUCACAAU